UAGCGCGGUGGUCCCACCUGACCCCAUGCCGAACUCAGAAGUGAAACGCCGUAGCGCCGAUGGUAGUGUGGGGUCUCCCCAUGUGAGAGUAGGGAAUCGCCAGGC
rnacentral:rRNA from 1 species